rnacentral:rRNA from 1 species
UACGAAGGGGGCUAGCGUUGCUCGGAAUCACUGGGCGUAAAGCGCACGUAGGCGGCUUUUUAAGUCAGGGGUGAAAUCCUGGAGCUCAACUCCAGAACUGCCUUUGAUACUGAGAAGCUUGAGUCCGGGAGAGGUGAGUGGAACUGCGAGUGUAGAGGUGAAAUUCGUAGAUAUUCGCAAGAACACCAGUGGCGAAGGCGGCUCACUAGCCCGGUACUGACGCUGAGGUGCGAAAGCGUGGGGAGCAAACAGG